rnacentral:lncRNA from 1 species
CACCGUGGUCUCAAUCUCCUGACCUUGUGAUCUGCCCGCCUCGGCCUCCCAAAGUGCUGGGAUUACAGGUGUGAGCCACUGUGCCCGGCCACGGAAAAUAUUUAUAACAUAUAUUAACAAGGGAUUUGUACCCAAGAUUUAUAAACAGCUCCUACUAAGGAAAAAUAAAAAUAUAAACAACCCAAUUAAAAAUGGGCAAAAGACUUGAAGAGACAUUUAAACAAAGAUAUACAACUAGCCAUUAACACAUGAAUAUGAUGCUCAGUGUCUGUGAUGAUUAAUUUUAUGUAUCAAGUUGACUAAGUAAGCUAUGGUGCCCAGAUGUUUGGUCAAACAUCAGUCUAGAUGGUGGUUUUUAGAUGUGACUAACAUUUAAAUCAGUAGGCUUUGAGUAAAGCAGAUUACCCUCUAUAAUAUGGAUGGGCCUUAGCCAAUCAGUUAAAGGCCUUAAGAGAGAAAAGACUGACGUCCCCUGAAGAAGAAAGAACUGUCUCCAGACUGCCUUGGGACUUGAGCUGCAACAACUCUUCCCUGGGCCUGCAGCCUGCUGGCCUGCCCUGCAGAAUUUGGACUUGCCAGCCACCAGCCCACACAAGCAUGUAACCAAUUCCUUAAAAUAAAAUCAAUGUGUAUCAUUCUCUCUCUUUCUAUCCCCAUCUAUGGGUUCUGUUUCUGUGGAGAACCAUGCAUGAUAAUACAGCAUCUUUAGUCAUGGGAGAUAUGCAAAUUAAAACAAG